rnacentral:lncRNA from 10 species
AAGGGGUUGGGGCACGGAAAUAAGGGAUUGCAGCACAGAGAUAAGAGGUCAGGGUGCGGAAAUAAGGGAUUGGGGCUCAGAGAUAAGAGGUUGGGGUGUGGAUCUUUCUCACGGAGCAAAGAGCUGGAGGACAGGGGAUUGAUCUCCCAAGGGAGGUCCCCCGAUCCGAGUCAUGGCACCAAAUUUCAUACGCGUCCGUGUGAAGAGACCACCAAACAGGCUUUGUGUGUGCAACAUGGCUGUUUAUUUCACCUGGGUGCAGGCGGGCUGAGUCCGAAAAGAGAGUC